UGUGCACCAGGAGCCAAAUUAAACUGAGCAAAGAAGAGGUUGUUUCCACCGCAGGGAUGGAACAGAUCGUUUUGCUCAAGUCCAGGAGAAGGAAUAAGGCCUACAAAUCCCCCGGAAUUGUGUGAAGGAUGGACUACUCCUGCUCCACUGGAACUUGUGGUCUACAGAUGUCCCCAACAAGACAAGACCUUCACAGAACAUCAGGCAAGGGAUUGUACUGGAAGUUUCACCAGCCUCUGCCAGCUAAGAGGAAUGAGGAAUCAGGACAGCAGUUGAACCUGAAGUAGUCGUGCCAUAUAAUCAGCUGAUGAAGGUGAAGGCAGCUUUUCUGUCUGGUAAGAGAGCAAACAUUGGACUCUCCAUGUCUUUGAAACCCCACCAGGUGAGUAUGAGCGCGUGGUGAGUGGGAUGGGGAUCAGAGAAGAAGAGAGAAGCUCUCUUUUGCUGUUCACAUAUAUGCCUGGGGACCCAGCUGGUAUAGAGACACAUCUUUGUAAAGGCACCUCAGUUUCUCAUCUGAUACUGUGAGACAAUGCUUCUGCACUGUUUGCUUAGCUGAGUUGUUCUUAUCCAUGGUUUCCUACAGUGGAUGGAGAGAAUACAUGGGAAGAAGAAAAUGGACUGAUCCGUUUAACAGGUGAUAUCAGUCAAGGCUUCCUGGCCAAGAAUAAUGAAGCCUAUGUGAAAUUUCAGUGCUCCUGUUGCAUUCCUGGCUUUGAACGGAGGACUGCAGAUCUGUAGCCAGUCAGCCAUUCGUCCAGGUGCAUUUGUGUAUAAGUACAGGCUAAACUUUGUGCAUCUGAAGAUACAUAGGAAACCAUAACCUUUUAGUCUUGUAGAGAAGCAGGAAAAGGAUUCUUGAAUUCAGUUCUGCCACAUUAGAUCUGAGUUUGGAACUGAGAUCUCAGCCAUGGGGAAGUACUCUCCUGGAAAUGGGAAGAAACCACUGGUGCUCCCCUCCAGCUGCCUCCACCUGCAUCUCCACCUGCAGCUGACCUCCAGGUUCUGGUGCAAGGAAGUGUUUCGUGUGAACAGUUGCAUCUUCAGAGGAGGCUCUUUCUGAUCUUUUAUCACUUGAGUACAAAACACAAGUUCUUUUCAGAUGUGAAACCUCCUUGUGUACACAUGUGGUGUGCUGUGUACCUCAUUGUGAGUGAGAUGGGUGCACAGCUAAUAGCUUCUUUCAUAGUCUAGGUGUCCAGCUUCAAUUUAUUGUUUAUUUUCCCUUAUUCUGAAUUACAUGUUAAUGCUGGCACAAUCUCUUUUUCUCUUCCCUCUCCAUCCUGAAUGUAAAUCGACUUGCCACAACCUGCCACCCUCCAGAAAUUAGAAAGCCUCAGAAGAUAAUUUGCUGCUGGUGCUGAUAGCAUCUGUUUAUUUUAAUACACCCACCAGUUAGGCCAUGCUUGCUUGCAAAUGGGGAGAAAAUGACCUUCAGUAAAAUCACAACCUUAACAUUUCUUAAAAUGCAUCUUUCUCGUCAGCCCACUGCUGGUAAUCCAGAGGUCCAUCUUUUCAGGGAAGCAAACGAGAGUUAAAGUUAACCUUCAGUGAGGCAGAGGGUAGCCUACAGCUUUUUGAGAGAAUAAGGAAAUAUAGGAACAUUCACAGUCGGAUUCUGGCUUGAAAAAAGACUAUGAACCAGAUCUUUUUAGGUUGCCUGAGUUCAUUACUUUCAUAAACAUGAAUGGUGCCUCUGCUCCUUUGCCCAGGAAUUCCCAUCUAAAAUUGAGUUGUGGUGCCCCAGAGAAGGUCUGGUUAAAGCUUUCACUCAGAAAAUCAGAUAAAUUAAGAAAACUAGAAUUUGUACUCAACAGCAAAUGAGUUCAAUCAGUUGACUAGCUGUGAUAGAAUUUGCAAUAAUGAAGCAGAAAGGACCUUCUUUGUAUCUUGCAAAUAAGCAGAGGACAAAUAUUUUCUCUGGAUAAGGAAGUAACUUUCACUUUGUUGGUAUUUGGGAAUGUGUUAACAAUCAGAUUCUAAAGUUACAUAUGCAAAUCACUAUUUGUUUUUUUAAUUUAAGUCCUAGAGUAACAAACUGAAGAUCUCCCUACAGCUUUCAUUUAUGGGGAAGUUCUAAAGACAUAGAAAAUCUAAUUUUAUAUCAAUAAUUAAAAUAAAUUCCUAUUGUCAUUAAUAAUUAAUGCA
ensembl:lncRNA